AGAGUUUGAUCAUGGCUCAGAUUGAACGCUGGCGGCAGGCCUAACACAUGCAAGUCGAGCGGUAGCACAGAGAGCUUGCUCUCGGGUGACGAGCGGCGGACGGGUGAGUAAUGUCUGGGAAACUGCCUGAUGGAGGGGGAUAACUACUGGAAACGGUAGCUAAUACCGCAUAACGUCGCAAGACCAAAGUGGGGGACCUUCGGGCCUCAUGCCAUCAGAUGUGCCCAGAUGGGAUUAGCUAGUAGGUGGGGUAACGGCUCACCUAGGCGACGAUCCCUAGCUGGUCUGAGAGGAUGACCAGCCACACUGGAACUGAGACACGGUCCAGACUCCUACGGGAGGCAGCAGUGGGGAAUAUUGCACAAUGGGCGCAAGCCUGAUGCAGCCAUGCCGCGUGUGUGAAGAAGGCCUUCGGGUUGUAAAGCACUUUCAGCGGGGAGGAAGGCGUUAAGGUUAAUAACCUCAUCGAUUGACGUUACCCGCAGAAGAAGCACCGGCUAACUCCGUGCCAGCAGCCGCGGUAAUACGGAGGGUGCAAGCGUUAAUCGGAAUUACUGGGCGUAAAGCGCACGCAGGCGGUCUGUCAAGUCGGAUGUGAAAUCCCCGGGCUCAACCUGGGAACUGCAUUCGAAACUGGCAGGCUAGAGUCUUGUAGAGGGGGGUAGAAUUCCAGGUGUAGCGGUGAAAUGCGUAGAGAUCUGGAGGAAUACCGGUGGCGAAGGCGGCCCCCUGGACAAAGACUGACGCUCAGGUGCGAAAGCGUGGGGAGCAAACAGGAUUAGAUACCCUGGUAGUCCACGCCGUAAACGAUGUCGAUUUGGAGGUUGUGCCCUUGAGGCGUGGCUUCCGGAGCUAACGCGUUAAAUCGACCGCCUGGGGAGUACGGCCGCAAGGUUAAAACUCAAAUGAAUUGACGGGGGCCCGCACAAGCGGUGGAGCAUGUGGUUUAAUUCGAUGCAACGCGAAGAACCUUACCUGGUCUUGACAUCCACAGAACUUAGCAGAGAUGCUUUGGUGCCUUCGGGAACUGUGAGACAGGUGCUGCAUGGCUGUCGUCAGCUCGUGUUGUGAAAUGUUGGGUUAAGUCCCGCAACGAGCGCAACCCUUAUCCUUUGUUGCCAGCGGUCCGGCCGGGAACUCAAAGGAGACUGCCAGUGAUAAACUGGAGGAAGGUGGGGAUGACGUCAAGUCAUCAUGGCCCUUACGACCAGGGCUACACACGUGCUACAAUGGCAUAUACAAAGAGAAGCGACCUCGCGAGAGCAAGCGGACCUCAUAAAGUAUGUCGUAGUCCGGAUUGGAGUCUGCAACUCGACUCCAUGAAGUCGGAAUCGCUAGUAAUCGUAGAUCAGAAUGCUACGGUGAAUACGUUCCCGGGCCUUGUACACACCGCCCGUCACACCAUGGGAGUGGGUUGCAAAAGAAGUAGGUAGCUUAACCUUCGGGAGGGCGCUUACCACUUUGUGAUUCAUGACUGGGGUGAAGUCGUAACAAGGUAACCGUAGGGGAACCUGCGGUUGGAUCACCU
rnacentral:rRNA from 64 species